rnacentral:lncRNA from 1 species
UGAAAAUCUUUAAAAUAUUGCAUGAUGAGUUCCUGUAUGAUGAGAGUUUAAAUUCCUACCACAGCCAUACAUACAUACAUAUUAGACUAAGAACCAUACAUUUACUUUUUACUGCUUAUGAGCAUUGAGUGUGGUCAAGCUGUGUAGACCCUUAGGAGCUUGUCAUGCGGUUAAAAUCAAGAUUCACUUGCAAGUGCACUCAUGCAUGCUACUUCUACUCCGCAAGUACGCAUCCACAUACAUCCACUAAAUUCCAUCUCCAGAUUCACCUAAAAUUAUUCUACUCCUAUCCGGGAGAGAAUAGCCAAAAACUUUUUCCUAUCCCUAUUAUUCCCUGUGAAAUAAAUGCUCGAGAUAUUUUGGUUACUACCACUUGCUACAUUAUUCUAGGAGGGUGAGUGCUCUGAAAAAAAGGGAAAAAUACGAGGAAAUAAAAAGGGGCAAGUGCCCGGAACCUCGAAGAAAAGAAAAAGUGAGACGAGAGGUAAAAAUGAACAAGUGUCCGACAGUAGAAUUAGAGGUACAAGAUACCCACCUAAGAGAAAAGAAAAAAAUUAUAGAGCAUCUCAUUCUCCUAAAAAAAUCUUCAAAGUGCAAGAAAGGUAUGUAUCUCCUAAAAAGAGCAAAAGUAGAAUUAGACUUUCACCAUUGUUAUCACAGUCAUCACCAUACACCAUUCACUUGCCACACAUGCACAUCUUGAUUUGACUUAUUGACUUGUUCUUCUGGAUCCAUGGUUUGACUAUGCAAUAAAUACCUUGUAAGUAUGUAUUAUCUGUCUCCCACCUAUGAGCUCCAGAUAUCAAAACCUUAUUAGAGUAGGGUGAGAGAGAAGGCAAUAUCACUAUGCCCCAUACCAAAAAUACCACAUACUUUGAGAGAAGGCAUAUACCAUUACUGCCUUGGAAAUGAUCCAGAAAUACCACAAAAGAGAGAUCUGAGAGAGUCAUACAAGGAAUCUCUGAGUUUUAUUUGAAAAUCUACAAAAACUCCAGAGCUAUAGCUGAUCAGAGAACAAGAGACAUGGAACUUGACUAGAUUGUUCUAUCUUUUAACUGCUCAAGACACAAGUGACGGUUGCAAGCCCCAUGAUGAAAGGUAAAAUGAGUAAGUUCUAAGUCUUAAGAGUUUACUCUAACUCAGAGAUGAGAUCUUGCUUGAAUGCAUGUGUACUUUUAAGGUAUGAAACCACUGCAGAAACUCUUGAGUCCAUCCUUGGUCAGGGACGAGCAAGAGGUAAGCUUGGGGAAGUUGUUGACGGUCCUUAUGUACCAAAUAUAAUCAUCAAAUAAAUAAAGAAAAGGAUCCAAAUGCAACCAACACCCAGACUUAGGGUUUUAUCUGACAGAAUUCCACGAGUUUUGGUGUUUGUCUAUUUCUGCAGGGGGUUAUCAGGAAAUAUGGAGGAAAGGCCCACAUGUCGGGUUUACAAAGAGAUAUUAACGUGCCGUGCAAUUUUCUAUAAUCUAGAAUACUCCAGAAGCCACGGGAACGAACGGGAGGCCGAGUGGGCCCAGGGUGUCUCAGCCAAUUAGGCUCCACCUCGCGGAUUAUGCUCCACCGACCUAAAGGAUUAAGGAAAACCGUUCGAUUAAGGUCGGUUUGAUCCGACGGGCCACGUUCAUUUGGAGGGGCUAUAUAAGCAGGCCCCCUGGCCCCUGGAGGAGUGCAAUCCCAUUAUUCAUUAGCAUAUUUUCCAGAGAGGAUUCAGAGAGAGAGAGAGGUCCCCCUAGGGUUCCAACCUCAUAGGGCUUAGCAUCCAAUGUGAGAUUAGAAUUAGUUCUUCUAGAUUGAGAGAGAUAGAGUGGAGGUGUAGAUCGGAGGAAGUCCGGCCUGUCGGUGUCUACUCUGAGGUUGUACCUGUGGGAUCAAGUCUCCUAACCCGAGGCUUGCUCCUAGGAUUCUUCAGUAUUUUAACUUCUAAAUUCUAGUAAGUUCAUUGUUCUUAUUGUUCUUUGGUUUAUGAGUUUACUUUAAUCUCUUCUGGUAGAGUUUAGAGUAAUCAUUGCUAGCGUAAACGUGGUGUUUGGGCUAGGGUACUCAAAGAUAUCCUCUGUCUAGCCGGAUCGUGGUAGUAACGAGGAACGUGACAUUUCUGUAGCUAACUUUGUAGCCCACAUCCCGUUAGCAGGAUCGGUAGGGUUUAUAGGUGCGGGUCAAACAUCCUUUGUGGUGUCUAGAUUCCGUAAGCCUCUCCAAUAGAAUAGUAGAUCAUCCUUACCAAGGUUAGAACGAGAGUGCGGUUGUAGUCUUCUCUAUACAUCGCUCACAUCGAAUCACAUUGUUUGUAGCCAAAAGGGUAGUAGCAAUAGAUUUGGUUAGUCAGAUGCACGCUUUCUCCCAGUGAUAAAAAUAUAAAUACGAUACUCUGGAUAACCUCCCGGGUGAAGUGCUCACCGAUAUCCGUGCGCUUGCGGAUCAUUUCCUGAUGGCGUUAACAAAUAUCAACAGUGGACAAGGUAGUCAAUAUGCAACAAGGUUGUCAUAUCAACGCCUAACACUUAAUGCAACAAUACAUAGCCAUAGUUAAUUGACAGCUGGACAUGAUAACAAAAUAGUGAGAGUCUUAUAAUGCUCUGGGGCUUGCCUUCGAUGUAGGUGGAAGGACGGUGGUCAGGACAAUCUAGUAGAUCCUCCUCCUCGUCAGCUCCUUCUCCUUGAGGUGGCUCCCUCUGCUGCUCCUCCGGCUCGGGUGGUGCGAAUUCCAGAACCGUCACGCCCUUGGGUACACCUAUGUAUGCAUGACAAGGCGAUAAACAUAGGGAAUGCACAUAUGAUGCAAUAUGUCAUGACGAGGAGCCAAAGGAACAUAAAACAAGGUGCAAACAUGAUCACAAGCUUCUAAGAUUAAGUGAGUCAUGAAAUAACAGUAAGUGCAUACUUCUUCUCUGGUAGAGAGGCUAACUAGACAAGCUAAUAAACCUUAGCUACUCCUACUCAACAGCUGGUGUCGUGGACAAAGUGAGUAGUCACACGUUUUUGCUAUAACAUAGUCAUCAUUUGGCCAAAUUAAGCAAGUAAGAACUUUCUGGAAAGCUUAACAAAUUAUCUACAAAACACUUUUAGACAUCACAGAAGGAUUCCCAACCGAAAUAGGCUAAAACAGACAAAGUAUCAGACCUGCUCUGGAAAAUCCAGAGAACAAGCACUUCGCAGUAGCUACUUGUAACAGUCACAACUUUUAAACUACUCAGCCAAAAGCUAUGAAAUUUGGAUACAAGGUGGACAAGUAAGUUAGCUACAAGUUUGUUACAGACAAGUUUUCCAGCAAACUUCAUCUUCAAGCAGUUCUUAAGCAAUUGCUAUCAGCUACCCAGAAUGUGCUCUAGACAAGGCAUAAAUAGCAAAAUAAUAUUUUAGCACAUAUCAAGAAUGCAACAUUGGUUCAGACCAAAAGUACCAGUAGCUAGAAUAUGUCUAAGAAACACCAUAAAACAUCAUGGCAAGGUUAAAACUCAUUUUUAUUAUCCUCUUUUCUAAUUAAUCGCUUAUUAAGGUGAAUUAAUGAGCAUGUAGUACAAGUGCUCCAAAAAUUCUAAGAAAAUUACAGCAAGCUACCUAAGCUACCACAAGGUUACUGUAAAAUUUUCAUGGCUCUUGCACAUGCAGAUUGUGAGGUACAAAAAUGACAAACUACUCAUGGCAUUAGAGGCAUAAAUGUGAAACCAUAUCAAAAAGUGUCAAACAACAAAUUUCAGAUUUUUCUUAGCUUUAACUUCACAUGCUUACAUCACCCAGCAAGUUCCAUCAUACAAGGAGUCAUACUCUAUUUAUUAAAAAUACCAUAAGAAACUCCUAUUUAAACAAUAGCUAUUUAUAAUUUCACCACAAUGCAUCCGAAAAUCAUGAGAAAUUUACCAGAGCCUACAAAUAGCAUAAAUAACCAUCUCCUAAAUUUGUAUGGUUAUAGUACUUACAGAUCUCAAGAUAUAAUUACCUUCUUUUUAUCAAAGAUUAAAUCAUAUCUAUUUAUUUCUGCAAAAAACAUGGCCUGUUUAAUAUUUUUAUUAAAAACUAGACUAACUCGAGUGUGAAAAAAUUGGAAUUACUCCAUUUGGAUCUGUCUAACUCAAGUUAUGAUUUUCUAAAACAGCAUUGAAUCUACCAAAAACAGAAAUAGGGGGAGAGAGGGACAGUAGCUGACAGAGGGGUCCCACUCGUCGGCGACACACAAAGCAGAGACGAGCUCGGCUGCCGGAGAUCUCAUCGACGGCGAGGUCUCCAGGGAAACCGAGGGCAUCUACUUGUUCCUCACAUCAAGGCGAACCUGUUGACCUACUUGGCUCACGCUCUACUGGACUCUAGGGUGCUCGCCGUCGAGAAUGGCAGAGCGGCGGCGCUGCGCGGCGGUACGCCAGCGUAUAGUAGAGGUUGCAGACGAGUAAGAGUGAAGCAGGGGAAGCAUUAGGAAGAAGAAUCACGACAAGAGGUGAACCAGAGACGUCUGGCCACGUUGUUGGUGAUCUCUGUGAACUCCGGCGAGGUGGAGUUCGCGACGGAGUUGGCAAUGUGACCUCACCGGUGCUCGGCUAGGGAAAAGAGAUGGAUGUCGAGGUAGAGGACAUCGCGGUGGAGCUCUGGGCGAAACAGCUCAGCUCGGGACACGGUGGUGGGGCAGGGAGAGCUUAGCGAAGCACGGCGAAGCUCGUCGAGGAUGAUGGCGGGCGAAAUGUGGAGCGCAGGAGGGAUGAAUGGCGCAUCUGAGGCGUCCAGGCGGUGCGUGGCGCUCAAGUGGACAUGCUAGGACUGACUGGCGGGGUCGCCUCGACGUACGGUCGACACCUGGCCGGACACGCGGCGGCGGAUGGUGGCUGUCCAAACUAAAUCGGCCGAUUCGGUCGCCGUCGACAGUGAUUGAAUCCCGAUCUUCGUCGACGUUUUACUCGUGAUUCACUCUGUGGUUUUUGCUCGGAUUUGUCCCAAUGGAUAGAGCUACACGAUUUCUACAAGUUUGCUUAAAGGAUCAAGGUCUGGUUUGGCCUAGAAUUCGAACUACAAAGCUCCCAAGUACCCUACCUCGAAUCUGCAAAACCCAGACUUAGCCAAAUCGCCUAAGUGUUGAAAACAGCACUGAUUUGUGUCUUGUGGGCCACGUUUGGUCAGGUUCCAUCCAUUUUCAUGAAAAGGCACCAAAACAACUUUUGUAGCUUAUACAAUUUACUACAACGUUGCUUUAGAUGUCAUUUACAUGCAAGGUCUCUAACACAGGUUUCAUGAAAGAUCUUUAAAAAGAGGUUUAGGGGGUCAACUAGGUCAACCUAGGGUUAACCAUGACUUAGGGGCAUUUUUGGAGGAAACCUCAAACACAAACUUUGUUCCAAAUGAUAUUCUAAACAUGAAUAGAGUAUUUUGGAUGACAAUGUGUACUUGUAUACAUUGGUCAUACAUUACUUACACUUAUAACAAGCCAUAUAAGCAUUUCAAUCAUAUAGUGUACACCAAAAUGACAUGUGAUCAUGGUAAGAUGCUCAAGAGUGUGUAUGAUGAUGCUCAUGUUGAUGCAAUGCUAAUGGUUAACAUGCAAGCUAACACUAGGAGUGUUACAGCCCUCCCCCCUUACAAAAAUCUCGUCCCGAGAUUUGAAAGACAUACCAUUUUUCAUAGAAGGAGGGGUAAGCCACUUGUAAAUAAUCUUCCCUCUCCCAAGUGGCAUCGCGUUCACUUUGAUGGUUCCACAACACCCUAUAAAGUUUUAUCACUCUCCCUCGAGUAACUCUUUCCUUGACAUCAAGAAUUUGUACAGGCUUUUCUUCAUAGGAUAGAUCUGAUUCUAAUUUAAGACCUCCUGUUUCUACUCUUUCUUCGAGCACGCGAAGGCAUUUCUUACGACACAUGGAAUACAGGGAAAAUAGUCUCAUCUCAGGAGGCAGUUGUACCCUAUAAGCCACUUUGCCACUUUUCUCAAUGAUUUGGUAGGGACCCACAUACCUAGGGGCAAGCUUCCUCUUCACACCGAAGCGGUUCACUCCAUGGGAGAUACUUUUAGGUACACAAAGUCACCUACUUCAAACUCAAGUGGUCUUCUUCUUCGGUCAGCGUAGCUUUUCUGUCUUGCUUGGGCGGCUUCCAUGUGUUUUUGGAUAAUGAGAACCUGCUUUUCAGCUUCCUUGAUGAAGUCAAUUCCAUAGUAUCUCCUUGCACCAGGUUCGACCUAGUUUAGAGGAGUUCUACAUUUGCGGCCACACAAAGCUUCGAAAGGGGCCAUUUGAAUACUCACUUGAUAGCUAUUAUUGUAAGAGAAUUCAGCUAAGGGUAGCCAUUUCUCCCAUAAUCCCUUGGAAGAGAUGACACAUGCCCUCAACAUAUCCUCUAAGAUUUGAUUCACACGCUCAGUCUGACCAGAGGUUUGAGGAUGGUAGGCUGAACUACGAACCAACUUUGUACCAAGGAGUGAAUGUAAAUGUUCCCAAAAGCGAGCAGUGAACUGAGCACCUCUAUCAGAAAUAAUAGUGCGAGGCACUCCGUGCAAUUUAACGAUCUGGGAGAAGUACAACUCAGCAUACUCGGAUGGUCGGUAUGUAGAGUGUACCGGAAUGAAAUGAGCUGACUUGGUCAAGCGAUCAACAAUCACCCAUAUGGAAUUGUAACCUUUUUGAGUAGGGGGAAGCCCAACAAUGAAAUCCAUGUUGAUUUCUUCCCACUUCCAACCCGGAACCGACAAAGGUUGCAAUAGUCCUGCAGGCUUAAGGUGAAUUGCCUUUACCCUGAAGCAGGUAUCACACCUAGCAACAUAAGCUGCUAUUUCUUUCUUCGUUUUGGUCCACUAGAAACGAGGCUUCAAGUCUUGAUACAUUUUGCUACUACCAGGAUGGAUAGACAACUUAGAGGAGUGAGCUUCAUCUAAGAUUUUAUUGCGUAGGUCACGGUCUUUGAGUACUACAUGUCGAUCAUCAAACCAUAGUACACCCUUCUCAUCUACCCUGAAAUGAUUGGUGUCUUGUUCUUUCAUUUUUCUCUUGAUAUGGAAGAUACCAGGGUCGGUGUUUUGCAGUUCUAUGAUUUGACUUUCUAAGGAACAACUGACUACAAUAUUGUGCAAGACCACGAGGUGUAGUAAAUUGAAACCUUUCUCGAGGAGGGGCUCAACAUGUUGCUUUCGGCUAAGGGCAUCUGCUACAACAUUGGCCUUGCCUAGAUGAUAGUGCACUUCAAGAUUAUAGUCCUUAAUCAACUCUAAGCAUCUUCUUUGUCUCAUGUUUAGCUCGGGCUGAGUGAAGAUAUAUUUGAGGCUCUUAUGGUCAGUAUAAAUGUGACACAAAUUACCCAACAGAUAGUGCUUCCAGAGUUUCAACGCAUGCACAUCUGCUGCUAACUCUAGAUCAUGAGUAGGAUCAGUUGACUUCAUGCUUCCUCAGCUGCCAAGAGGCAUAGGCAAUGACUCGGCCUUCUUGCAUAAGUACACAACCUAACCUAGUGCCGAUGCAUCACAAAAGACAUCAAAUGGAUAUUCAAUGUCAGGCUGUGCCAAAACAGGAGCAGUGGUCACAAAUGGUGUAAAGCAUUAAAAGCGACUUCACACUCCUGAGACCACACAAAAUUUCACAUCUUUUUGCAGCAGCUAGGUCAUAGGUUUGGCUAUCUUGGAAAAGUCCGGAAUAAAGCGACGAUAAUAUCCCGCUAAACCGAGAAAACUUUGAACCUCAUGCACCGAAGUCGGGGCCUUCCAGUCUAGAACCUCCUGCACCUUUGACGGGUCAACAGAUAUGCCGUCUUCGGAUAAAAUAUGGCCUAGAAAAGGCACUUUCUUCACCCAAAACUCACACUUGCUGAACUUGGUGUAAAGCUGAUGUUCUCACAAUCUAGUGAGUACAAUCCGAAGGUGCUUCUCAUGGUCUUGGGCAUUUUCAGAAUACACCAAUAUGUCAUCGAUGAACACCACUACAAACUUAUCUAGUUUAGGCAUGAACCUUCAUUAGGUACAUGAAAUGAGCAGGGGCAUUAGUCAGGCCAAAGGACAUGACUAGAUACUCAUACAACCCGUACUGGUAGAGAAAGCCGUUUUAGGAACGUCUUCAGGCCAAAUUUUGAUUUGAUGAUAUCUAGAUCUCAGAUCAAUCUUCGAGAAUACCUUAGCCUUGGCUAAUUGAUCAAACAGAAUAUCAAUGUGAGGCAGGGGAUACUUGUUUUUGAUAGUCACGGCAUUUAGCGGAUAGUAGUCUACACACAUACGGAGAGACUUGUCUUUCUUCUUGACAAAAAGAGCUGGACAACCCCAGGGGAAAGAACUAGGCCGAAUAAGACUUUUCUCUAGGAGUUCUUGCAAUUGCUUCUUCAAUUCUGCCAGUUCAUUGGGUGGCAUUUGAUAUGGCCUUCUAGAGAUAGGUGCGGUACCCGGAAUUAGAUAAUUUUAAGCUCUAUGUCUCUGUCCGGAGGCAACCCGAGCAAAUCCUUUGGAAAGACAUCCGAGAACUCACAAACUACAGGAAUCUCUGCCACAGUAAGUGGUCUGAUAGCAUUUGUAGCUUGACGAAUGUCGUCAUUUUUAGGAAGUUGGACUAAGAAAGCUUCUUUACUAUCAGGCUCCCUAAACAUGACUACCCUUGUUGAGGUAUCUAUUAACACCCUAUGAAUACUCAUCCAAUUCAUUCCUAGAAUAACAUCUAUCCCCAAGCCUGGCAAAACUACCAGAUUUGCUGAAUAAUUACGCCCUUCAAUGGCAAUGUGCACAUCCCUCACUAAUUGAUUUGUAGAGAUUUGAUUACCAGUAGCACUAAUGCAAAAUUUGCCCUUGUCAAGAUCAACUACAUGAUGUCCAUGCUUAGAUGCGAAUGCUUGACUCAUAAAAGAAUACGAUGCUCUAGAAUCAAACAAAACAACUACGGGAUGUUGGUUGACAAGAAACAUACCAGCAGUAACCACUUCACCUGUGGGGAUUUCUUCAAUGGUAGUAUAGUGCACUCAGCCAGUACGAGUAUUAACCCCAGCUGCAGAAGUGUUCUUAGGAUAAGGGCAAUCCCUUGCCUAAUGACCAACCUAUUUGCAGUUGAAGCAGGGACGGUUAUCACGGGAUGUUUUGGAGCUCCCUUGACCGGUGGCAGCUCUAGGAAGAGCAACUGUGAAGGACUUGUGAACUCCCGUCUUCACAUUUGACUUCUAUUGCGGCGGCCUGUACAUUGUCACAACAUUGGGUGGGCGAUAGGCCGGCUUACUUGUCACCGGAGCCUUGGACUGCGAAGCACCUGCUUCAUAGGCCCUCUUGCGGUUCUUGGAUGCAGCAUAUAUAGCAUUAGAGUUCUCCUGAGUCAAGGCAUCACACAUGAAAUCAUUGAAGGUGGUACUCUUGUUACCAGCCAUAUUCUUGGACAGCUUGGGCCCAAGUUCCCUCUUGAAACUAGCAAGCUUCUUAGCAUCAGUGUCAACAAACUCAGUAGCAUAGCGAGACAAAUUAUUGAAAGCAUGAAGAUACUCAGUCAAACUUUUGGUGCCCUGAGUUAAGUUCAUGAACUCGGUAUGCUUGAUGGUCAUUAAGCCCUAUGGAAUAUAAGUGUCCCAGAAAGCAGUUUUGAACUGGUCCUAGGUUACAACAGCAUUGGCAGGCAAGGAGGCCCUAUGAUGACUCCACCAAACACCUGCUUUGUCCUCCAAUUGCUGUGCUGCAUACUCCAUCUUUAGCUCCUUAGUCACCCUCACCAAGCGGAACUUCUGCUCGAGAGUGUUGAGCCAUUCAUCGGCUUCCACAGGUUCAGAAGCCUCCUUGAAAACCGGUGGCUUGGUGUCCUAAAAAUCCUUGAAAUUGCUAUACUGAUUCGCUUCUCCGCCUUAGAGGGCAUGGCGACCGCCCCGGUUCUGCUGCGCCAUGGUUUGCAUAGCUUCAUUGAGCAUCCGCUGGCCCUCAACAAGAGUUGCCAGGAGCUCAGUAGGCGUAGGCAGGGGAGGAGGUGGUGGUGGCGGCACCUCAUUAUGGCCGAAACGAGUAUUGCGAGCCAUCUACACAAGGCAUACCAAGUGAUCGUUUAGGAUGACAGAAAUAAUUGCCAUGAAUUUCAAUUGAUGCCAUACGGAAUUUACUGAAAUAAAUCCACAUAAUACAAGGCACAAUAAUCCAUUAACAACAAGUAAACAUCACCCACGAUACUGGUUACACUUGCAAUCAUUCACAACCACAUGAAUUCUCAGGGAUUAAAGACAUCACUGGAAAUUUAUUCAAGCUCAACAUAAACAUGGAGCAUCACAUACAGGUGCAUAUGGUUACACAGGGUCAUUGUCACAGCUUAAGUCUUACAAGAAGGGCAUCAUGGCCAAAUACAUAGAGUCUCAACUAGAAAUUUAGAUUACAUAUCAAAAACAUAAAGGGACAUGAGCUGGUACAUAAAUAUGACAAUCACUGCUAAAUUAUAGAUCUUCCUCAGAUUCUUCAUUAGAGACCAUGCCAUCAUCCUAAUCUUCCUCACUAGGAUCCUCUUCAUGAUUAACUGGGACAGGGUGUGGAAUAGGAUUUAUAACAUUGUUUAGGCGAUGAACAUCUAACUGCAGCUCAGCAAUCCUAUGAAUUAGCUCUUGCUCUCAAACCUCAGCUUGGAACAAUGCUCUAACUCUAGCAGCUUCUCUAUUUUCAGCCAAGCGCAUAACAUCAUCUCGCUCUCUAGUCAUUUGCAUCAUGUGGGCUUGUGCCUCAUUGCGCUCUCUAACUGCAUUUUCAACUUGGUUGCGGCGGGCUUGCAAAGCGGUAUGAUAGUUUUGAAUUUCAGCUUGUGCAUCACUAAAGGCUUUACGGUGCUUGCACACGCGCUUGCGCAGUUUGCGCUGCCCAGAUUGAGCUUGCUGAAGCGCUAGCAUGGCUUCUAUGUAGGUAUCUUGGCGUACAUAGUACAUCUUGAGUACCGCCAGCAUGGCACUCAUGGCGGGACUAGAGCUAUACCCUACCAUGGUUUCUCUCAUCUCCAGGGGCUCCGUUCCUAUUUGGGAUACAAAGGUAUCAGUUACACUCACUCUAGGAAAAGAUCCAGCUCGGCUAUUAACUAGCUCAUCACCAAAGUCCUGGCAUAUUUCCAACAACACUUCUAGGGCUGCUACUUGGGCGCCCUCAAAAGGAGUUUGACCAUCGGACUCCACUACCCAUCCUAGCCACUGUGGGUUAUUUGGACAAGGGGAAACUGUGAUUUGGACAUCUACCCAAGGCAAAGAUCCUGCAUGCUCUGCCUCUCCCCAACUAUACUGCGGUGGUUCCUCAUAUCCCACUGAACUUAGCACCCUCCACAACAGAGUAAGAGUGCCAAACAUGUCCAGAAAAGUUUCCCUUGCAUGUGGGGCUGCCAUUUAUAGGGAAAGACCACAAUUGAGUAAGGAAAAAUUACUUAUAAGAGAAGAUAAUUAUGUACAAGUUUCAGAUUUACAAUAAUUUAAGUAGUGCAUAAAGGGAUGCAUGAAUGAUUCAUGGUACAUGCACACUCCGUACGUCCUUACCAUUCCUAGAAAGACAAUUCUAGCGGUAUAGUCGGUGGCAUACAUACGUGCUCUCUUUAUACGGAUCUACACGGUCUACAUGUUUCGUUGUUAGCGUACCAGCAGAAAAUUUCAUUUCAGCCCACCCGACAAUAAUAUAUGUGCGGAAAUGAAAGUCUUGAUCUUCUAAAUUCAAGCUAGGUACUCCGAUAUAGAUCCCCGAACAUAUAUCGCAGCACACUAACCAUGUGAAGUACACCCAUAUAUACAUCAAAUAUAUAUACACGGUUGCACCAACUACCCAUAAUUAAGUACUUUCAUAUAUACAUGUGUGCAACAUGUAAAUAUUCCAGUAACCACAACUAACACUCCCCUAGGCCGACGGUUGGACGGUCAUGCUCUCACGGCUCACACUUACCAUAGCGUAGAGGCAUAUAGAUCCAUGCAUUACCACUUAAGUAAGUGGCAUCUAUACUAUUGCAUGCCGUACGGACGACGAAAAGAAAACCCCCCCUUGGUUAGUAGUACUUAGCCACCUAGAAGUCCUUAAGCGGGCAUAAAGGGUAUGACCACUGGCAUAGUAUAUUUUGUUCAAUCAUUUUAAAACAGCCCUAUGCAUAGUCUAAGUUGCCAAUUACUUUGGGAAAAACAAAUUCAUUUGUUUUUAAAUACAUCUAUGAAGGUUAAAUGCUUAAUCUUGCUCGGAUGCCAGCUGUAACAGGACCAUCCAAUUUAUAAGAAUUCAAGUGAUUUAGCGACCACGAGAGUAGUCAAGCCAAUGGACUUGAACCUAUAUAAACCCGGUAGUCCGACGAAAUCUCAAAAUAUCUCGAUUCAACCAACAUACAACCAAGACCGUACAUGAUCAAGCAUCUCCAUCACAGAUUACAACCAUUCAACACAGAACAUAGUUUUACACACAUCGGAGUUCAAUAAAGUUAUUACAGCAUAUUUCGGUAGCGGAAGCAAUGUAGUUUUGAAACAACACACACUUAGUUUAAUUACAUGCCAGUUCCAUGAUCAUCCCAACAAAAUCAUAACCGAAGAUACAAGAGGUGAUCUUGCCCGAGAUCUACUCAUCAUCCGCAGCCGGAUGCUAAAGUUAGCACAGUAGCCACGAUACACGACAUCAUCUGCAACAAGAGUAAAUAAAACCCUGAGUACGAGAAUGUACUCAGCUAGACUUACCCGUCAUAAACAAGAAAUAAAGUGACACCAAGGAUUACGCAAGGCUCAUAUUUGUGGGCUGGUUUGACUCACAUUUUGCAUAAAAGCUUUAGUUUUUGAGUAACCCAUUUAUAACAUUUUCAGCAGCAAGUUUUUGUUAGGCAUGCGUUCAACAUGACAAGAGGACGUACAACGUAUCGGUCCUUCAACGACAAAGACGGGGAUAGAUUCACACCCACGACCUCCAUGACUUGUUGCUUCACUAUUGUCAUCCCGCCCAGUCUCAUUUCAUUAUUAGCACAUGGUUAUUUCUACGAUAGCAAAUCUAGCCAACCGUGAUCAAGUAUCCACCUAUCUCUCGCAGGUGACAGGAAAUCACCCGGCUUCUACCGAGCUAAGCAUGGCUAAGCAUUAAUUCGAUCAUGGACCUACUGAGGUGAGGUAUAAGGUGGACAAGGUAGUCAAUAUGCAGCAAGGUUGUCAUAUCAACACCUAACACCUAAUGCAACAAUACAUAACCAUAGUUAAUUGACAGCUGGACAUAAUAACAAAAUAGUGAGAGUCUCAUAAUGCGUCGGGGCUUGCCUUUGAUGUAGGUGGAAGGACGGUGGUCAGGACACUCCGAUAGAUCCUCCUCCUCCUCAGCUCCUUCUCCUUGAGGUGGCUCCCUCUGCUGCUCCUCCAGGCCCUUGGGUACACCUAUGUAUGCUUGACAAGGCGAUAAAUAUAGAGAAUGAACAUAUGAUGCAAUAUGUCAUGACGAGGAGCCAAAGGAACAUAAAACAAGGUACCAGUAGCUAGAAUAUGUCUAAGAAACACCAUAAAACGUCAUGGCAAGCUUUAAACUCAUUUUUAUUAUCCCCUUUUCUAAUUAAUUGCUUAUUAAGGUGAAUUAAUGAGCAUGUAGUACAAGUGCUCCAAAAAUUCUGACAACAUUACAGCAAGCUAUCUAAGCUACCACAAGGUUACUGUAAAAUUUUCAUGGCUCUUGCACAUGCAGAUUGUGAGGUACAAAAAUGACAAGCUACUCAUGGCAUUAGAGGCAUAAAUGUGAAACCAUAUCAAAAAGUGUCAAACAACAAAUUUCAGAUUUUUCUUAGCUUUAACUUCACAUGCUUACAUCACCCAGCAAGUUCCAUCAUAAAAGGAGUCAUACUCUAUUUAUUAAAAAUACCAUAAGAAACUCCUAUUUAAACAAUAGCUAUUUAUAACUUCACCAUAAUGCAUCCAAAAAUCAUGAGAAAUUUACCAGAGCCUACACAUAGCAUAAAUAACCACAUCCUAAAUUUGCAUGGUGAUAGUACUUACAGAUCUCAAGAUAUAUUACCUUCUUUUUAUCAAAGAUUAAAUCAUAUCUAUUUAUUUCUGCAAAAAUAUGGCCUGUUUCAUAUUUUUAUUAAAAACUAUACUAACUCAAGAGUGUGACAAAAUUGGAAUUACUCCAUUUGGAUCUGUCUAACUCAAGUUAUGAAUUUUCUAAAACAACAUUGAAUCUGCCAAAAACAGAAAUAGGUGGAGAGAGGGACAGUGGCUGACAGAGAGGUCCCACUCGUCAGCGACACACAGAGCAGAGGCGAGCUCGGCUGCCGGAGAUCUCAUCGACGGCAAGAUCUCCGGGGAAACCGAGGGCAUCUACUUGUUCCUCACAUCAAGGCGAACCUGUUGACCAACUUGGCUCACGCUCUACUGGACUCUAAGGUGCUCGCCGUCGAGAAUGGCGGACCCAGUAGAGGUUGCGGACGAGUAAGAGUGAAGCAAGGGGAAGCAGUAGGAAGAAGAAUCACGGCAAGAGGUGAACUAGAGAGAUCUGGCCACGUUGUCAGUGAUCUCUGUGAAAUCCGGCGAGGUGGAGUUCGCGACGAAGUUGGCAAUGUGACCUCACUGGUGCUCGGCUAGGGAAACUAGAUGGACGUCGAGGUAGAGGACAUCACGGCGGAGCUCUGGGCGAAGCAGCUCGGCUCGGGACGCGGUGGUGCGGCCGGGAGAGCUCGCCGAAGCGCGGCGGAGCUCGCCGAGGACGAUGGUGGGCGAAAUGUGGAGCGCUGGAGGGAUGAAUGGCGCGUCUGAGGCGUCCAGGUGGUGCGUGGCGCUCAAGUGGACGUGCUGGGACUGACUGGCGGGGUCGCCAUCAACGUACGGUCGACACCUAGCCGGACACGCGGCGGCGGAUGGUGGCUAUCCAAACUGAAUCGGCCGAUUCAGUCGCCGUCGACAAUGACUGAAUCCCGAUCUUCGUCGACGUUUUACUCGCGAUUCACUCAGUGGUUUUUACUUGGAUUUGUUCCAAUGGAUAGAGCUACACGAUUUCUACAAGUUUGCUUAAAGGAUCAAGGUCUGGUUUGGCCUAGAAUUCAAACUACAAAGCUCCCAAGUACCCUACCUCGAAUCUGCAAAACCCAGACUUAGCCAAAUCGCCUAAGUGUUGAAAACAGCACUGAUUUGUGUCUUGUGGGCCAUGUUUGGUCAGGUUCCGUCCAUUUUCAUGGAAAGGCAGCAAAACAACUUUUGUAGCUUAUAAAAUUUACUACAACUUUGCUUUUGAUGUCAUUUACAUGCAAGGUCUCUAACACUGGUUUCAUCAAAGAUCUUUAAAAGAGGUUUUGGGGUCAACUAGGUCAACCUAGGGUUAACCAUGACUUAGAGGCAUUUUUGGAGGAAACCUCCAACACAAACUUUGUUCCAAAUGAUAUUCUAAACAUGAAUAGAGUAUUUUGGAAGACAAUGUGUACUUGUAUACAUUGGUCAUACAUUACUUACACUUAUAACAAGCCAUAUAAGCAUUUCAAUCACAUAGUGUACACCAAAAUGACAUGUGAUCAUGGUAUGAUGCUCAUGAGUGAUUAUGAUGAUGCUCAUGUUGAUGCAGUGCUCAUGGUUAACAUGCAAGCUAACACUAAGAGUGUUACAGCUUAGUUCCUCCCCUUAUAUAAAUCUGUCCCAUUUUAAUAAAAAUGACAAGAGUUAAUCCUCAGUCUUACCCAAGGUAUCCCAUUUUUCAGUAGAUGGUUCGCACCAGGCGUACCGCUCACAAGUCCACUGGAGGGUGGGUUCCUCACCAUCAGCUGGUACCUAGGGACACGUGUCGUAAGAGCAAGUUCCUGGGAGUGUUUGGUAUGCCUACUUUGUUGUGGAGGGUGCUUAGUGCGAUGGGGUAUCCUGAAGGAAGGGAACCUCGCUACUUUUGGAGCAGGGAGCAGCUUGGUGACGGGACUCUAGUUGGGGUCGAGGCAGUGAUUCCUACUAGUGGCAGUGACCCCACCUGGGGCGAUUGGGUGUACGAGUCCUGAGGCAGAACUCCUUUUUAGGGAGCAAGCAGGGUUGCUUUUGCAGUUCUGAGGGAUAUCGUGGAGAGGUUUCCACAAGAGCUAGCUCAUGCCUUCGCUGGGGUGUUUCCCCAGGGUGACCCCUACACCUCAGUGUGGGAUCAGUCCGAGGGGAGUGCCUUAGAGAGGAGUGCAGAUGAGGACCAACACAGUGAUAUUACAGCUAUGAGUGCUAUGUUUGCUAUGAUGAAGACCUAUGGGGGCCUAGAGCGCUGUUUGGGGCGGUUGACUAGGUCUCUACUAACAGUCUAGGAUGAGAAGCGCUAGUUGCAGAGUGCAUUCGACAGUGAGGUUGAGAGGUUGCAGGCAGAGCUUGCCCGUGUGACUCUAGAGAGGGACCAGGCAGUUCAGUAGAAUAACGUGCUGAGCUAAGACAUGCUAGUAGUGAGAUAGCAGAGAGAUAGGGUGACCACAGCCCAUAGGAACUGUGAGCGCAUGCUAGUUCAUGUGCUUAGACAAAGGAAUGAAGCCUGGCAUGAGGAAGACACCCUUAGGACCCGACAGCUAGAGCUUGAGCAGCAUAGCUAAUGCUGAGGAGUAUAAUGAGAACUUGCAUGAGAAGAUCCACCAGUUGCAUAACCAGCUCCAUCCACAUCACCUUUCUGGAGCAGCUGAGACAGAUUCUAAGGAAGAGAUGAAUGAGGAUCUAGAGAUAGAGGUGGCAGCAAGUGAAGACAAGGAAGGCGAGGGUUCCGGCAUGGAUAGCGACAAUAGCGAGUAGACGCUAGUGUUCUAGUGCUAGUCUUUCUUUUGUUGUUGUUGUUUCUGCAUGGCAUGUACUCGUAAUCUGGGUUGAGACUUGGUUGUGUGUGAGACUUGAUGUGGUUGAGUUGUGUUGACAUUUGAAAAGUCCAGUGUAUGUAUGUUGGUAAUUUUGGAUGUAUGCAAACCACUUUGGCGAUGUGUUAAAUAACUCUGUUAGUGAUGUUGUGUGUGGAUGAUGAAUUAUUGUGCCUUUGUUUAUUGUGUGGAUUUAUUCUCAUCAGUAAAUUUAGUAUGGCACGAUUUUACAUGUAUCUACUGAUUGGUGACAACUCCUAAUGGUUGCAUAUCAUUGACGCGUGCAGAUGGUGGAAACACAAGGUAGGGGUAACCACAACGAGGAUGCUAGGGAAGGUUCCUCGGGAGGCGCGGCUCGCAGAAUGAGAAUAGAGCACUACCACUGCCACCACCACCUCCCCCUCCGUACACUGCAAAGGUGUUCUUCACGUAGUUUUUGGGGAGUCAGCGAAACUUGGAACAGAUGCAGUAGAAUAUGGAGGCUGCCCUACGCAAUAUCGCUGACAACAUCCAUUGUGGGGCUAACCCAGGCGGCCAUGAAGUGAAUUAGUAGAGUUCCUCCAAGGACUUCAUGGACACAAAGCCACCGGUAUUUAAGGAGGCCAUAGAAUUGCUUGAGGCUGAUGAGUGGAUCAACACUAUGGAGAAGAAAUUCCAUCUCCUCUGAAUGACUGAAGAGCUAAAGUCGGAGUACGCGGCACAUCAACUGCAGGGGCCCACUGAGAUUUGGUGGUCUCAUCAUCGUAUCACUUAUCCUAAGGGAACCUUGAUCACCUGGAACCACUUCACGACUAUGUUUCGGGGAAACUAUAUUCCCCCAGGCUUGGUGGAAAUGAAGGUCAGGGAGUUCAUGAAGCUAUCUUAGGGAACCAAGACUGUGAAAGAGUAUUUGCAUGCUUUCAACAAUCUUGCUCAUUAUGCUCUAGAGUUUGUGAACACCGAAGCUAAGAAGAUCGCUUGUUUCCAGAGGGGCUUGAGCCCUAUGAUGCUGAAGACUAUGGACACAGGGACCCGAGCUACUUUCAAUAGCUACAUCAGUGGCUGUCUGAGGCCGGUUCGUCCAAGUUGUGUAAGAGGGCUUUUGAGGCCGGUUCGUCUCAGUCUAGGGCACCAAUGGCAGGGCGUCAGCAGUAUCGUCCUCCUACCCUGGGUGCUAGAUUCUAACCUCCACAGAGAUGGAAUACGGGGCAACCAACUCAACAAAAGCCAUACACGGUAGCAGUGACCCCACUAAGCCAAGGGCCAAUCCUGCCACAGCACCUGCUACUAACACCACGGCCAAGGGACCGUGUUACAACUACCACACGAUGGGGAACUUUGCCAAGGAAUGCUCCUACCCCAAGAAGUAGCAGACGACCUACCCAGCCCGUGUGCACCACACCUUGAUUGAGGAGAUUCCAAAAGGAGAACCGGUAAUAGCUGGUAUGUUUCCUGUCAACCAACAUCUCACAGUUGUUUUGUUUGAUUCCGGAUCAUCGCAUUCAUUCAUGAGUCAAGCAUUUGCACAAAAGCAUGAUCAAGCAGUUACAUAGUUGGAUUAUGGCUACCGCAUCAGCUCAGCAAGGGCAGAUGUUCUAACAAGUAAAGUGGUCCGAGGGGCAACCCUAGAUAUAAGUAACCGCAUGUUUCGAGUAGAUCUUGUGGUCAUGUCUAGCUUAGUCUUGGAUGUCAUCAUAGGCAUGAACUAGAUGAAGGAGUGGGAUGUAGUCAUAGAUGUAGGGAAGAGGAUGCUUUCUCUUAAGGAGCCUCAGGGCAAUGGUUCUUUCCAAGUACCUUUACCUCGUCGGUUCGACUUUGCUUGCAUCUCUUGUGCUACACAAGUGUUUCCUUUAACCCAAAUCCCUGUAGUUUGUGAGUUUCCUAAUGUUUUUCUGGAAGAGCUACCAGAGCUUCCCUCAGAUAGAGAAGUCGAGUUUGCCAUCGAGCUAAUACCCGGUACAGCGCCAAUCUCUAGGAGACCAUACGUGAUGUUGCCAAAUGAGUUUGCGGAAUUGAAAACCCAACUGAAGGAACUGCUAGACAUGGGUUUCAUUCGGCCAAGUUCGUCCAAAUGGGGGUGUCCGGCACUGUUCGUGAAGAAGAAGGAUCAAUCCUUGCGCAUGUGCAUAAACUAUCAUCCACUCAAUGCUAUGACCAUGACCUGUUUGAUCAGUUGUCAAAGGCAAAAGUGUUCUCCAAGAUAGAUCUAAGGUUAGGGUAUCACGAAAUCAAGAUUCGACCGCAAGACAUACCAAAGACUACCGUUUUUUCAGAUACUGGUUGUAUGAGUAUCUUGUCAUGUCCUUCGGAUAGACAAAUGCUCCGGCAUACUUUAUGUAUCUGAUGAAUUUUGUCUUUAUGCCCGAGUUGGACAAGUUUGUAGUGGUGUUCAUUGAUGACAUUUGAGUCUAUUCAGAGAAUGAGCAAGACCAUGCCAAACACUUGAGGGUCGUAUUGAGUCGACUACAGGAGCAUCAGUUGUAUGCGAUGCAAGUUUUGGCAGAAGAAGGUUUCGUUUCUAGGUCACAUUUUGUUGGAAGAAGGAGUAGAUCCAGCUAAAGUACAAGUGGUCAUGAACUAGAAGGACCCAACUUCUGUCUCAGAAGUUGAAAGCUUUCUUGGGUUGGCCUGUUAUUAUCGUUGUUUCAUCCCCGACUUCUCCAAGAUCGCUAAACCGAUGACUAGCCUACUGCAAAAAUAUCAUGAGUUCACCUUGACAAAGGAGUGUGAAGUUGCCUUCCGCACCUUGCAAAAGCUACUGACCACUGCUCCUGUUUUGGCACAACCGUAUAUCGAGAAGCCUUUUGAUGUGUUUUGUGACGCAUCAAAAUGUGGUUUGGUGUGUGAACUUAUGCAAGAGGGCAGAGUCAUUGAUUAUGCUUCCCGUUAGUUAAGAAAACAUGAAGUCAAUUAUCCUACACAUGAUCUUGAGCUUGCUAUUGUUGUGCAUGCUCUGAAGAUCUAGAGGCAUGACUUGCUUGGAAAUAAGAGUCACAUCUACACUAUCACAAGAGUCUUAAGUACAUAUUCACUCAGUCAGAGCUAAAAUAUGAGGCAACGAUGAUGGUCAGAGCUAAUCAAGGACUACGAUCUUGAGGUACACUACCACCCGGGCAAGGCUAACAUCAUGGUGGAUGCCUUGAGUCGCAAACCACACUAUCAUACAGUUUAGCCUUUGUUUGAGGAUGGGUUCAACCUGAUGCAUACUGAAAUUGCAUGGUAUUCCCAAGACUAUUGUAUUAGAUAGAGGUUCGCAAUUCACCGCUGAUUAUUGGGAACGAAUGCAUAAGAGUUUAGGCACCAGCCUAGUGAGGAGUACAUCAUAUCAUCCUCAAACCUCAAGCCAAACAAAGAGACUUAAUCAGAUCCUAGAGGACAUGUUAAGAGCUUGUGUGUUGUCUUCAAAGGGUUCUUGGGGGGCCUGGUUACCUUUAGCUGAAUUCUCUUACAAUAAUAGCUGUCAAUAGAGUAUCAAGAUGGCUCCAUUCGAAGCCCUGUAUGGUCAAAAGUGCAGAACUCCAUUAAAUUGGGUUGAACCCGAUGAAAGGAGGUACUACGACAUCGACGCUGAGAAAAAGGUGCAAAUCAUCCAGCAGCACAUGAAAGCCACAAAAUCAUGUCAGAAAAGUUAUGUUGAUAAGAAGAGAAGACCACUUGAGUUCGUCGUAGGUGAUUAUGUAUACCUCAAAGUUACACCAAUGAAUAAAGUCCAGCGUUUUAGGGUUCGAAGUAAGCUUGCACCGUGAUAUGUGGGACCUUAUCAGAUAAUAGAACAGAAAGGCACUAUGGCCUACAAGAUACAGUUGCCUGAAGAGAUAAGUUCUAUAUUUCCAGUAUUCCACGUGUCCCUGUUAAGAAAGUGUCUGAAAGUAUGUGAGCAAAGAAUUGAACCCCGAGGUAUCAAGAUAAAGGCAGACCUAGAGUACAAAGAGCAACCAUGGAUUAUAAUAGAUACUGUUGAUAUUUGGGAACACAAUAAGGAAUUGAUCCGCAAGCGCACGGAUAUCGGUGAGCACUUCACCCGGGAAAUUAUCCAGAGUAUCGUAUUUAUUUUUUUACCACUAGGAGAAAGAGUGCAUCUGACUAACCGGUCUAUUACUACUAACCUUUUAGGCACAAAGAAUGUCUCUCGAUGUGAGUGAUAAAUAGAGAAGACUGCAACCCUAGUCUCCUUCUAACCUUGGUAAGGAUGAUCUACUGUUCUAAUGGGAGGCUAACGGAAUCUAGACACCACAAAGGAUGUUCAACCCGCACCUAUAAACCCUAUCCUUCCUGCUAACGAGAUGUGAUCUGCAAAGGUAACUCGGAAUUGUCACGUUCCUCACUACU